rnacentral:rRNA from 1 species
GUAAGGAAUAUUGGUCAAUGGAGGCAACUCUGAACCAGCCAUGCCGCGUGCAGGAAGACGGCCCUCUGGGUUGUAAACUGCUUUUAUCCGGGAAUAAACCUGCCUUCGUGAAGGUAGCUGAAUGUACCGGAAGAAUAAGGAUCGGCUAACUCCGUGCCAGCAGCCGCGGUAAUACGGAGGAUCCAAGCGUUAGCCGGAAUUAUUGGGUUUAAAGGGUGCGUAGGCGGCCUGUUAAGUCAGGGGUGAAAGACGGUGGCUCAACCAUCGCAUUGCACUUGAUACUGAUGGGCUUGAAUGGACUAGAGGUAGGCGGAAUGUGACAAGUAGCGGUGAAAUGCAUAGAUAUGUCACAGAACACCGAUUGCGAAGGCAGCUUACUAUGGUCCUAUUGACGCUGAGGCACGAAAGCGUGGGGAUCGAACAGGAUUAGAAACCCUAGUAGUCC